CUGUUACGCUAAAAGGGCUAAUGUCGGCAUUCGGGAUGUCGGCCCGUGUGAAGAGAAUAGAAAAUGUCGCUGUAACCGAAUAAUGAUUGACGUAUGUGGAUAUAAUGGAAUACAGUAUAAUAACCCGUGUCUGGCCAGAUGUCAUGGAGUGGAAAAUUUUACCCUCGGAAAAUGUGAUGUAAUUCUCUGAAAUAAAAACCAGUCAGUAAAAGAA